GGGUCUCUUCCCAUGACAUUUUUCUGGUUCAUAUGGGGACUUCUCUGAUCACAGGGAGCCAACCACCACCAUGUGACACAGCCGGCAGCAGAAACCUUUCCAGGUGAACGCACACCCAACAUUGACCUCCUGUUCACGUUUAGCCCUCCUUUGUCUUCUGUCUCUGAUCCUUAGAGAAUCAUUUGCCAGUGCAGGAGCAACCGAAGACUUCUGGCCAGGGCAACUCUCUGGCAGAACUGAAAAGUCCCCAUUCUCAGACACCUCGCACUCACUGCCUUCGGGUGUGAGAAUCCUGCUCUCUGUGUUCUGGUUCCAGUCCUCAGAACCUGCCUUCCUGUGCAGGCACAGCGGCUGAUUCUGGGCCAGGGUGACUCUGGUGGAAUCAGAACAUCUGCACUUGUGCAUGCUUAGGGCUUGCUGCCCUUAGGGGUGAGGACGUGUUCCAUCGCAUCCUAGUGGGCUCCCUUUGUCCUUCACAAAGGUUGAAAGCCUGCUCUUCCUUUUCCCCUGGACCACUCCAUCUGCAACCAGCCUGGACUGAGACACUUGACACUUCCAAGGGUUACAGACUUCUUUCAACCAUAGGCAGUCAUUGAGUUUCCCUCUGCUUCUUCUCACGAAACUGGAACUCGCAGUCCUGAUGAACAUCUACAACUCAAAAAGGCUGACUGAACCAUAUCCUG